GUGUACUUACUUGAUAGGGAAUCUGGUUAAAAUCCAGAGCUGUCCUCGCAACUGUAAAUGUGUCCAGCCAUAGAGCAAAAGCCACUGUACCACGAAGGAGGUAUGGGAAGGUGCUUUUUGGUAUUUACACAUAAGCCAGGAGACCUGCCUUUAAAUAUAG
rnacentral:ncRNA from 1 species